ensembl:lncRNA
AGCAGUGAGACUCCCACAGCAGAGACAACCAAACUGAAGCUUUUUCUCCUGAGAAGUCACUGGAAUGACCGAUAUGAAGACUUGGAUGGUUGAAAGUCACACAUUCUCUUCCCGUUAAUGACUUUGAGCCUCGAGGCCUCAGACAGGAGCCUGCAGACCUUCGGAUUGAUCCCCUCCCGUCUCCUUCAGAUUUUUCCUUUCGUGAAAGAAAGUUCAGUGGGUUUGGAUCUACAUGAAUAACAUUUCAACUGUUGUGCUCAGAAGAGAAGCUGUGCCGUAUGUGAGAGACACCCAGCAGAGAACAGAAGAACAGCUAGAGCACCUCUUAAAAAGUCACACUUUCAUGUUCUCUUUGAGAGACUUUAAAAGGACAUACCUGACAAACAUUUGCUAUUUUAAUGUUGCUGUAGGGUUAGGUAAGUUGUGGGCAAGUUUUCAGAUAAGGGAAAAAAAUGUAUUACGUUAACACUUGCAAGUCUUAAUUACAUUUUACAAUGUUAUGAGGUGUUUUUAAUUAUAUAACAAGUGUCAGCAUUAUUCGGCUGUUUUUUAUUCCUCUUUUUGCUUAAACUAUAUUGUAGUACAGUUUAGAAUAAGUACAUAUGUGAAAUUCUUUGUACUAACUAUAAGAUGUAAUAGCUUCUACUGAAGCACAGUAAAGCAUAAGACAUUCCAAAUACUAAAUCACUUUUCACUGAAUUGUUACGCUGAUCAUAUCAUUUGUAUCAUAAACUGAUGUUUUAGUUAGAAAAAUGCAAGUUUGAAGCAUUCUCACUAGUAGUCUCAGAUUUGACCCCAACUUAUGUGACAGCGGUGUUAAAAAAAGCUCUCAGUGCAUAACCUGGUUUGAGGAUCUUUCAUGCCUUGUGUCUUUGGGAUGACCUGCUGUUUUUGGUCCUAUCAGAGUUCUUACAUCUCUUCGGCGUCUCUCUGGCAGCAGAGGACAGAGGAGAAGAUCAAGACGCCUUUGAUGUGUUGCCCACUGCAGGCGAUACCGGGAUAUGGAAUAUGAUUUCUGAAAAAUGUAACAUCUAGAUUAAAAAGUAACAUCUGGUUGAAAUUCACAACAGGGAGUGGUAUGAUUUAUGAGCUGAAUUAUUUUGAAGUGAAGUAAAUAGAUUGUUCAUUAUAUUAUUUUCUUAAGCAAACUAAGCUUUCUUUGACACUUUGAUACAUUUGCUUGGUUUUGUGUAUCAGGGAUAAAAAAAAAAAUCAAAAAGAAUUUAACAGUUUAGGUUUCCAUUCCUCUUUAAAAUUCUGGUUCCUUAAAGGUUCCAAUAAUUAUUAUUUUUAGGGCUUUAAUAGUGAAAUAUUUGGGAAAAGUCUAACUUCUAGCUGUAUGUUUUUACAGAGUAUAAAGAACCAGCUCAAAAGUGUGAUUUGUUCAAAAGUCAAAUGUUUUUUUAAUUCACUAAAAAGAAUGUCCGGGAGUCGAACUACUGGAUCCUUUGUUUGAUUCACUACAA